rnacentral:tRNA from 1 species
GCAGGGGUGGGUGAGUGGUUAAAACCGCCAGACUGUAAAUCUGGUGCCUGACGGCUUCGUAGGUUCGAAUCCUACCCCCUGCACCA